rnacentral:rRNA from 1 species
AGUGAACGCUGGCGGUAGGCCUAACACAUGCAAGUCGAACGGCAGCACAGUAAGAGCUUGCUCUUACGGGUGGCGAGUGGCGGACGGGUGAGGAAUACAUCGGAAUCUACUUUUUCGUGGGGGACAACGUAGGGAAACUUACGCUAAUACCGCAUACGACCUACGGGUGAAAGCAGUGGAUCUUCGGACCUUGCGCGAUUGAUUGAGCCGGUGUCGCAUUAGCUAGUUGGCGGGGUAAAGGCCCACCAAGGCGACGAUCCGUAGCUGGUCUGAGAGGAUGAUCGGCCACACUGGAACUGAGACACGGUCCAGACUCCUACGGGAGGCAGCAGUGGGGAAUCUUGGACAAUGGGCGCAAGCCUGAUCCAGCCAUACCGCGUGGGUGAAGAAGGCCUUCGGGUUGUAAAGCCCUUUUGUUGGGAAAGAAAAGCAGCAGGUUAAUACCCCGCUGUUCUGACGGUACCCAAAGAAUAAGCACCGGCUAACUUCGUG